rnacentral:lncRNA from 1 species
AAGUGGCCCUUGCUACUUAUAGACCUCUGCUGGGCUGUCAUGUUCGCUAGGCGAGCAGAAUGGCUCGCCUAGCGAGGGUCUAAUAUGGGCACAUAAGGCACCUGCGCCAGAGAAACAGGGUCUGCUUGAACUGUCAUGUUCGCCUAGCGAACAUACCUUCGCCUAGCGAAGGACACGCUUCAACCUUCGCCCAGCGAGGUUGAGAGGUUUUGCUACUGGAUGGCUCGCUGGGGACUCGCUAGAGCUUCGCCUAGCGAGUGAGUGCUGGCUGCGCUUUUCACCAAAAUAGAAUGAACUCGCUACCACCUUC